rnacentral:RNase_P_RNA from 1 species
ACAGCAGGACGGUCUGUUGCUUGCCCUCUGCGGCAAGAGGAAAGUCCGGGCAACACAGGGCAUUAUACUUCCUAACGGGAAGCUGUUGGUGACAGCAGGUUAGCGUAACAGAAAAUAACCGCCGUAAAAGGUAAGGGUGAAAAGGCGAGGUAAGAGCUCACCGCUUCUAUGGUGACAUAGAAGG